rnacentral:snRNA from 1 species
ACUUAUAUCUUCCAGGAGAAAUGCCAUGUCAUAAAGUGGUUUUCCUAGGGGGAGGCUCAUCCAUUGCACAUCAGGUAUGCUGUUGAUUCCUGUGAUUUCCCGGAAUAUGAGGAACAACUGCAUAAUUUGUGUUAGUGGGAGAUUGCCAUUGUGAUUUCCCU